rnacentral:antisense_RNA from 1 species
UCAAAAAAAAAAAAAAAAAAAGCAAAAAUGGAAUCAACCUAAGUGCCCAAAAAUGGUGGACUGGAUAAAGAAUUUGUAGGACAUAUAUACACCAUGGGAUAGUAUGCAGCCAUAAAAAAGAAAGAAAUCAUAUCCUUUGCAGCAACAUGGUUGCAGCUGGAGGCUAUUAUCCUAAGUGAAUAAAUGCAGAAACAGAAAACCAAAUAAUGCAUGUUCUCAUUUAUAAGCUGAACCUAAACACUGGGUACACAUGGACAUAAAGAUGGGAACAAAAGACACUGGAGGCCACAUGUGGUGGCUCACACCUAUAAUCCCAGCACUUUGGAAGGCCAAGGCAGGUAGAUCACUUGAACCCAAGAGAUCGGGAUUGGCCUGGGCAACAUAGUGUGACCCUGUCUCUUAACAACAACAAAAAAGACACUGGGGACUACAAAAGGGAGGAGGGAAGAAGUGAGGACAAGGGUUGAAAAACUAUCUAUUGGGCAGUAUGUUCACUAUUUGGGUAACAGGUUCAAUUGAAGUCCAAAUCUCAGCAUCAUGGAACGUAUCCAUGUAACAAAACUGCAUAUGUGCCCCUUGAGUUGAAAAUUUAAAAUAAAUAGUUUUUUUUCUUUUUUUAAGAGAUGAGAAAUAAUUUGUGGCAUAAAACCAAUAAUCGGGAUGGGUGCAGUGGCUCAUGCCUGUAAUCCCAGCACUUUGGGAGGCCGAGGCGGGCAGAUCACUUGAGAUCAGGAGUUCGAGACCAGCCUGGCCAACAUGGUGAAACCCCAUCUCUACUAAAAAUACAAAAAGUAGGCCGGGCUCGGUGGUUCACAUCUGUAGUCCCAGCACUUUGGGA